rnacentral:snoRNA from 1 species
UGACAGGAACAAUAAAUAAACCCUCUCUUGCAACCCAGAACUCACUGUUUGGUAUGCGUUUUGAUGCAUAUAAGAAGGAAUAUU